CCAAUAGCGUAUAUUAAAGUUGUUGCAGUUAAAAAGCUCGUAGUUGAAUUUUAGGCCUGGCCAGGCGGUCCGUCUUUGGCGAGUACUGUUCUGUGUCGGGUCUUACCUUCUGGUGAACCGGUAUGUCCUUAAUUGAGUGUACCGGGGAGCCAGGACCAUUACCUUGAAAAAAUUAGAGUGUUUAAAGCAGGCAUUUGCUUGAAUAGAUUAGCAUGGAAUAAUAGAAUAGGACGUUGGUUCUAUCUUGUUGGUCUGGACCACCGUAAUGAUUAAUAGGGAUAGUUGGGGGCAUUAGUAUUCAAUUGUCAGAGGUGAAAUUCUUGGAUUUAUUGAAGACUAACUAUUGCGAAAGCAUUUGCCAAGGAUGUUUUCAUUAAUCAAGAACGAAAGUUAGGGGAUCGAAGACGAUCAGAUACCGUCGUAGUCUUAACCAUAAACUAUGCCGACUAGGAAUCGGGCGACGCUAUUUUUAUGACUCGCUCGGCGCCUUAUGGGGUAAAUCU
rnacentral:rRNA from 1 species